AUUGAACGCUGGCGGCAGGCCUAACACAUGCAAGUCGAGCGGCAGCGGGAAAGUAGCUUGCUACUUUUGCCGGCGAGCGGCGGACGGGUGAGUAAUGCCUGGGAAAUUGCCCAGUCGAGGGGGAUAACAGUUGGAAACGACUGCUAAUACCGCAUACGCCCUACGGGGGAAAGCAGGGGACCUUCGGGCCUUGCGCGAUUGGAUAUGCCCAGGUGGGAUUAGCUAGUUGGUGAGGUAAUGGCUCACCAAGGCGACGAUCCCUAGGUGGUCUGGGAGGAUGAUCAGCCACACUGGAACUGAGACACGGUCCAGACUCCUACGGGAGGCAGCAGUGGGGAAUAUUGCACAAUGGGGGAAACCCUGAUGCAGCCAUGCCGCGUGUGUGAAGAAGGCCUUCGGGUUGUAAAGCACUUUCAGCGAGGAGGAAAGGUUGAUGCCUAAUACGUAUCAACUGUGACGUUACUCGCAGAAGAAGCACCGGCUAACUCCGUGCCAGCAGCCGCGGUAA
rnacentral:rRNA from 1 species